UACGUAGGGCGCAAGCGUUAUCCGGAAUUAUUGGGCGUAAAGAGCUCGUAGGCGGUCUGUCGCGUCUGCCGUGAAAGUCCGGGGCUCAACUCCGGAUCUGCGGUGGGUACGGGCAGACUAGAGUGAUGUAGGGGAGACUGGAAUUCCUGGUGUAGCGGUGAAAUGCGCAGAUAUCAGGAGGAACACCGGUGGCGAAGGCGGGACUCUGGGCCGAUACUGACGCUGAGGAGCGAAAGCGUGGGGAGCGAACAGG
rnacentral:rRNA from 1 species